CAGUUCACCGUCCCGGAUCUCCGCCCCGGCACGCUCGACUCCCUGCUCGCCCUCAGCGACGACCUCGUCAAGUCCAACAUCUUCAUCGAGGGCGUCUCCCACAAGAUCCGCCGGCAGAUCGAGGACCUGGAGCGCGCCGGAGGGGUCGAGCCCGGCACCCUCACCGUCGACGGCGUCCCCGUCGACAGCUACCUCACCAGGUUCGUGUGGGACAAGGGCAAGUACCCCGUCAACGCCCCGCUCAAGGAGACCGUCGCCAGCAUCCAGUCCCAGGUCGCCAAGAUCGAGGACGACAUGAAGGUUAGAGUUGCUGAAUACGGUAAUGUUAAGAGCCAGCUUGGCGCAAUCAACAGGAAGCAAACUGGGAGUUUAGCAGUUCGUGACCUUUCCAACCUCAUAAAUCCAGAGGAUAUGGUCACUUUGGAACAUCUAGUGACACUCCUUUCUAUUGUGCCAAAGUAUUCCCAAAAAGACUGGUUAUCAAGCUACGAGUCACUUGAUACGUUUGUGGUUCCGAGAUCAUCAAAAAAGCUUUACAAGGACAAUGAGUAUGCUCUCUACACUGUAACAUUAUUUGCCAAGGUUGUUGACAACUUUAAGGUCCAUGCUCGUGAGAAAGGUUUCCAGAUCCGUGACUUUGAGUAUAGUCCUGAAGCACAGGAGAGUCGGAAGCAAGAGCUAGAAAAACUGCUGCAAGACCAGGAAGUUAUGAGGACCUCUCUAUUGCAAUGGUGCUAUGCAAGCUACAGUGAGGUACAUGUCUUCUGCAGUGUAUUAUGUCCUAAUAUCGUCUAUGAACCGUAUGGUGAACAAACCACAUGCCCUUAG
rnacentral:rRNA from 1 species